GAGAGAGAGAGAGGAUUUAAAUUAGGAUUGAGUUUCCUCGGACCGAGACUGAACAGACUACAAUGUCUCUCUCCUGCAAAAUAAGCUGCUAAAACUGGAGAUUUCAACACGGAGAAUUUUUUUUGAGGUGACGCCUGUGGAAGGAAGCACACUCUAUCGACCGACAUGUCCAGAGAGCGGGAGACGAGAUCCAGUGGAUCCUCCAGGGUGACCUGUGAUGUCCAUGGAAGGAAGCAC